rnacentral:rRNA from 1 species
GAUGAACGCUGGCGGCGUGCCUAAUACAUGCAAGUCGAGCGAACAGACGAGGAGCUUGCUCCUUCGACGUUAGCGGCGGACGGGUGAGUAACACGUAGGUAACCUACCUAUAAGACUGGGAUAACUUCGGGAAACCGGAGCUAAUACCGGCUCAUAUUUCGAACCGCAUGGUUCGAUAGUGAAAGAUGGCUUUGCUAUCACUUAUAGAUGGACCUGCGCCGUAUUAGCUAGUUGGUAAGGUAACGGCUUACCAAGGCAACGAUACGUAGCCGACCUGAGAGGGUGAUCGGCCACACUGGAACUGAGACACGGUCCAGACUCCUACGGGAGGCAGCAGUAGGGAAUCUUCCGCAAUGGGCGAAAGCCUGACGGAGCAACGCCGCGUGAGUGAUGAAGGUCUUCGGAUCGUAAAACUCUGUUAUUAGGGAAGAACAAACGUGGAAGUAACUGUGCACGUCUUGACGGUACCUAAUCAGAAAGCCACGGCUAACUACGUG